UACGUAGGGUGCGAGCGUUGUCCGGAAUUAUUGGGCGUAAAGAGCUCGUAGGCGGUUUGUCACGUCGUUCGUGAAAACCUGCAGCUUAACUGUGGGCGUGCGGUCGAUACGGGCAUCACUGGAGUUCGGCAGGGGAGACUGGAAUUCCCAGUGUAGCAGUGAAAUGCGUAGAUAUUGGGAGGAACACCAGUGGCGCAAGCGGCUAUCUGGACUGACAUUGACGCUGAGGCACGAAAGCGUGGGGAUCAAACAGG
rnacentral:rRNA from 1 species